rnacentral:rRNA from 1 species
CUAAGCCAUGCGAGUCGAGAGGUGUAAGACCUCGGCAUACUGCUCAGUAACACGUGGUUAACCUGCCCUAAGGUGGAGGAUACUCCCGGGAAACUGGGGCUAAUACUCCAUAGUGGAUAUGUCCUGGAAUGGUAUAUCCUCGAAAGAUCCGUCGCCUUAGGAUGGGACUGCGUCCGAUUAGGUUGUUGGCGGGGUAACGGCCCACCAAGCCAUUGAUCGGUACGGGUUGUGGGAGCAAGAUCCCGGAGAUGGAUUCUGAGACAUGAAUCCAGGCCCUACGGGGCGCAGCAGGCGCGCAAACUUUACAAUGCGAGCAAUCGUGACAAGGAAACCCUGAGUGCCUGUCGAUGCAGGCUGUUCAUAUAUCUAAAUCAUAUGUGAAGAAAGGGCAGGGCAAGACCGGUGCCAGCCGCCGCGGUAAUACCGGCUGCUCGAGUGAUGGCCACUAUUACUGGGUUUAAAGCGUCCGUAGCUUGACUGUUAGGUCUCUUGGGAAAUCUUCACGCUCAACGUGAAGGCGUCUAAGAGAUACCGGCAGUCUUGGAACUGGGAGAGGUAAACCGUACUUCGGGGGUAGGAGUGAAAUCUUGUAAUCCUCGAGGGACGACCUAUGGCGAAGGCAGUUUACCAGAACAGCUUCGACAGUGAGGGACGAAAGCUGGGGGAGCAAACGGGAUUAGAUACCCCGGUAGUCCCAGCCGUAACAAUGUGCGUUAGGUGUGUCGGUAACCACGUGUUACUGAUGCGCCGAAGAGAAAUCGUGAAACGCACCACCUGGGAAGUACGGUCGCAAGGCUGAAACUUAAAGGAAUUGGCGGGGGAGCACACACAGUGGGAGCCUGCGGUUUAAUUGGAUUCAACGCCGGAACAUCUNA